rnacentral:lncRNA from 1 species
UUUGUUUUUUUUAUUGUGAAGUAUAUAGAGAUGGAGUGGUUUCUAAUUCUUUAUGGAGAAAAAUGAUGCAAUUAGUGGGAAUACCCAGUUUACAGGUUACUGUUGUUCACUGUUUUUACAUGUUAUUGUGAAUAAGUUUACUUACUAGUAGACCAUUACAUGUAGAUGAUAUCCAACAUCCUUUUAUGUUGUGUGGGUGUGUCUGAAUAUAGUAAGAAGUUUUGAGUUAUCAUUUUUGUGGAAA